AUGGGUGCUCCGCUCACGCCUGGGUGCUUGUCCCGCCCCUGGUUGCCAAGCCCACGCCUGGGUGCUCAUGUCAUCCCUGGGUGCCAACCUCUCCCCCAGGCGCUCAGCUUGCCCCAGGCUCUUGGUUGCACCCGUGGGUGCUCGGCUCACACGUGGGUGUUGGGUGUCUCCCCCCCGGGAGCUCGGCUCUCCCCAGGUGCGGCGCUUGCCCCCAGGGUCCCCGUCUCCCCGCCGGGUGCUGCAGGCACCCUGCUCCCCUCACGGCUCCCCGACCCGCUGCGGCCCCCCCGCGCUCGCCCCCACCCCGGCCCCGGCCGAGCCCCCGGGAGGUCACCCGAGCGGGCGGUCACCUGCGGGGCGCGAGGUCCUCGGGGUGGCGGUGGUCAGGGCUGGCGCGGGUCGUGCGGGCGGCCUGGACCCCGUUCCCAUUCCCGUUGCCGUGCCCGUCCCAGUCCUGGUCCCGGUCCGGGUCCGGCGCGCACACGUGUGCUCCGGCGGCCCCGAGCCCCGACGGGGAAGGAAGUGAGUCAGCCCCACCGCGGCCUUGCCAGCGCUGACGCCAGCGCCCCGGCUCCGAGCCCUGCGCCCGCCGCCCCGCGCCCGCCCCAGGGCCCGCCGCUGACUCAGGGGCGGCAGAGCCGGCCCGGCCGGUCCCGCUCGCCCGGCGCUCCCGUCCCUGCCGUUCCGGGGAGGAGGGAGAGCCGGACGCCUCCGGCACGGCCCCGAGCGCUCGGCAGCCGGCAGAGCCGGCCAGGGCGGCCAAGUGCGCUCCGGGGCUCAGCGGGGCCGGGAGCGCCCGAGGCACCGGGAGGAGGCAGCGGGGCGGCAAGCGGGGCCAGCGUGGGAUCCGGCAGCCCGCCCGCCCUGGCACUCGCCAGCCCCGGCUCGGGGCUCCGGCUGCGUGGCGCCAGCGGGGGUUGCGGCUGGCGGGGGCCACCCGGGUGGCACACGGCACCGUGGCGUGCACGGCACGACAUGGCGCAACGUGCGCACCCCGUGCAGGGACCCGCCGUGCCGCGGGUGCCAGGCGCAGGGUGGCGCAGCCCAGGCGCCCCGGGCGCCCCCAGCGCCUGCCCUGUGCUCAGACGGGCGCCACGGUGCCGUCGCACGGGGCGAAGGGCCGCGGCCGGCGGCGGCCGUGAACCCUCCCCGCAGCCAAAGGGCAGCCGAGACGCCCCGGGGCGGCCCGGGGAAAGGCAGAUAAGCCACCGCGGCGCGGCACAGCGCGGCACAACGCGGCACAGCGCGGCACAGCGCAGCGUGCCAGACUGGCCGGGGCACGCGGCACUGCCUGGGCUUGCGGCCUCCAGCCUCCUUGUGGACUGUUAA
rnacentral:lncRNA from 1 species